rnacentral:rRNA from 1 species
AUGGAGGGGGCCAGCGUUGCUCGGAAUUAUUGGGCGUAAAGCGCGCGCAGGUGGUUUCUUAAGUCUGAUGUGAAAGCCCACGGCUCAACCGUGGAGGGUCAUUGGAAACUGGGGAACUUGAGUGCAGAAGAGGAAAGUGGAAUUCCAAGUGUAGCGGUGAAAUGCGUAGAGAUUUGGAGGAACACCAGUGGCGAAGGCGACUUUCUGGUCUGUAACUGACACUGAGGCGCGAAAGCGUGGGGAGCGAACAGGA